CACUAAGAAGCUACUGAGGACUAAGCAUUAGCCUUUUAAGCUAACCACUGGUGGCCACCGCCCACCCUUAGUGA
rnacentral:tRNA from 1 species